rnacentral:lncRNA from 1 species
GGAGGGUCUUCCAACGGCGGCGACCUUCGCCUGGACAGCGGUAUCCUGCGGGCGACCAUGGGCCGAACGGCCGGGACUCCAAGCUUACCUCGGACACGAACGCCGCGCCAGUCUCCAAGCCAAGGAACAUUUCUCUCCACCAUCCUGUGCCACACUGUGGGGGUGUCAGUAACACCCUCUGUCCUCUCCUGGCCAAAGGAAAGGGGUGUCAUUCAGCCCAGGCCCCUGGAUCCUCAUCUUGGGAUUUGGAAAUGUGACCGAAGUGACAUAAAAAAA